GGGGUCGUAGCUCAGUUGGGAGAGCGUGGCGUUCGCAAUGCCAAGGUCAGGAGUUCGAUCCUCCUCGGCUCCACCA
rnacentral:tRNA from 1 species